UGGCUAAGACUGGAUAGGGAGAUAAAAGGCAUCUUUUAUCUUUUAAAAGACCUAGUAAUAGGUAUGCUUUAGGAGGGGCUUGCGCCAUAUUAGUUAGUUGGUAGGGUAAUGGCCUACCAAGACGAUGAUGUGUAGCUGGACUGAGAGGUUGAACAGCCACAUUGGGACUGAGACACGGCCCAAACUCCUACGGGAGGCAGCAGUAGGGAAUUUUCGGCAAUGGAGGAAACUCUGACCGAGCAACGCCGCGUGAAUGACGAAGUACUUCGGUAUGUAAAGUUCUUUUAUCAAGGAAGAAAAGCAAAUGGCGAACCAUUUGUUUGCCGGUACUUGAUGAAUAAGCCCCGGCUAAUUAUGUGCCAGCAGCCGCGGUAAGACAUAAGGGGCAAGUGUUAUCCGGAAUUAUUGGGCGUAAAGGGUGCGUAGGCGGUCUAGUAAGUCAGUGGUGUAAUGGCAACGCUUAACGUUGUCCGGCUAUUGAAACUGCUAAACUUGAGUUAGAUAGAGGCGAGUGGAAUUCCAUGUGUAGCGGUAAAAUGCGUAAAUAUAUGGAGGAACACCAGAGGCGUAGGCGGCUCGCUGGGUCUUAACUGACGCUGAGGCACGAAAGCGUGGGGAGCAAACAGGAUUAGAUACCCUGGUAGUCCACGCCGUAAACGAUGAGUACUAAGUGUCGGGUUAAACCGGUACUGAAGUUAACACAUUAAGUACUCCGCCUGAGUAGUACGUACGCAAGUAUGAAACUUAAAGGAAUUGACGGGACUCCGCACAAGCGGUGGAUCAUGUUGUUUAAUUCGAAGAUACCCGAAAAACCUUACCAGGUCUUGACAUGUUUUUGCAAAAUGAUAGUAAUAUCGUGGAGGUUACCAGAAACACAGGUGGUGCAUGGUUGUCGUCAGCUCGUGUCGUGAGAUGUUAGGUUAAGUCCUAAAACGAGCGAAACCCUUAUCGUUAGUUGCCAGCACGUUAUGGUGGGGACUUUAACGAGACUGCCAAUGAUAAAUUGGAGGAAGGUGAGGAUCACGUCAAAUCAGCAUGCCCCUUAUGACCUGGGCUACAAA
rnacentral:rRNA from 1 species